rnacentral:rRNA from 1 species
UGGGGAAUUUUCCGCAAUGGGCGAAAGCCUGACGGAGCAAUGCCGCGUGGAGGUGGAAGGCCUACGGGUCGUCAACUUCUUUUCUCGGAGAAGAAACAAUGACGGGUAUCUGAGGAAUAAGCAUCGGCUAACUCUGUGCCAG